CCUGAUCCAGCAAUGCCGCGUGAGUGAUGAAGGCCUUCGGGUUGUAAAGCUCUUUCGCACGCGACGAUGAUGACGGUAGCGUGAGAAGAAGCCCCGGCUAACUUCGUGCCAGCAGCCGCGGUAAUACGAAGGGGGCUAGCGUUGUUCGGAAUUACUGGGCGUAAAGGGCGCGUAGGCGGUGGAUCAAGUCAGGCGUGAAAGCCCCGGGCUCAACCUGGGAACCGCGCUUGAGACUGGUGCGCUAGAGUUCGGGAGAGGAUGGUGGAAUUCCCAGUGUAGAGGUGGAAUUCGUAGAUAUUGGGAAGAACACCGAUGGCGAAGGCAGCCAUCUGGACCGACACUGACGCUGAGGCGCGAAAGCGUGGGGAGCAAACAGGAUUAGAUACCCUGGUAGUCCACGCCGUAAACGAUGAGUGCUAGACGUCGGGGCCCUCAGGGCUUCGGUGUCGCAGCUAACGCAUUAAGCACUCCGCCUGGGGAGUACGGCCGCAAGGUUA
rnacentral:rRNA from 1 species